rnacentral:rRNA from 1 species
GGAAGGAGAAGUCGUAACAAGGUUUCCGUAGGUGAACCUGCGGAAGGAUCAUUAUUGAAUAAACUGAUAAGUUGCUGCUGGUUCUCUAGGGAGCAUGUGCACACUUGUCAUCUUUAUAUCUUCUCACCUGUGCACCUUUUGUAGACCUAGGUCUAUGUCUCUUCAUAUACUCUCAAUGUAUGUUAUUGAAUGUAAUAUAGGCCUUUGUGCCUUUAAAAUGUUAUACAACUUUCAGCAACGGAUCUCUUGGCUCUCGCAUCGAUGAAGAACGCAGCGAAAUGCGAUAAGUAAUGUGAAUUGCAGAAUUCAGUGAAUCAUCGAAUUUUUGAACGCACCUUGCGCUCCUUGGUAUUCCGAGGAGCAUGCCUGUUUGAGUGUCAUUUAAUAUAUCAACCUCUUGUUGAGUGUUGGAAGUGGGGGUCUCUUUUGCUGGUCUCUUAUAGGAUCAGCUCCCCUGAAAUGUAUUAGCAGAACAAUCUUGUUCAUUGGUGUGAUAAACUAUUUACACUAUUGACAUGAGCAAAGUUCAGCUUCUAAUAGUCCAUUGACUUGGACAAAAUUUUCAUUAAUGUGACCUCAAAUCAGGUAGGACUACCCGCUGAACUUAAGCAUAUCAAUAAGCGGAGGAAAAGAAACUAACAAGGAUUCCCUUAGUAACUGCGAGUGAAGUGGGAAAAGCUCAAAUUUAAAAUCUGGCAGUCUCUGGCUGUCCGAGUUGUAAUCUAGAGAAGCAUUAUCCGCGCUGGACCGUGUACAAGUCUCCUGGAAUGGAGCAUCAUAGAGGGUGAGAAUCCCGUCUUUGACACGGGCUGCUAGGGCUUUGUGAUGUGCUUUCAAAGAGUCGAGUUGUUUGGGAAUGCAGCUCAAAAUGGGUGGUAAAUUCCAUCUAAAGCUAAAUAUUGGCGAGAGACCGAUAGCGAACAAGUACCGUGAGGGAAAGAUGAAAAGAACUUUGGAAAGAGAGUUAAACAGUACGUGAAAUUGCUGAAAGGGAAACGCUUGAAGUCAGUCACAUUAACCAGGGAUCAACCCGGCUUUUGCUUGGUGUACUUUCUGGUUGAUGGGUCAGCAUCAAUUUUGACUAUUGGAAAAAGGUCAAGGGAAUGUGGCAUCUUUGGAUGUGUUAUAGCCCUUGGUUGCAUACAAUGGUUGGGAUUGAGGAACUCAGCAUGCCGAAAGGCCGGGUUUUUUAAACCACGUACAUGCUUAGGAUGCUGGCAUAAUGGCUUUAAUCGACCCGUCUUG